rnacentral:rRNA from 1 species
UUUAAUGAUGAGUUUUAUCCUAGCUCAAUAUGAACGCUUUAGAUAUGCUUAACACAUGCAAGUUUUAUUUAAGAUGGUAAAUCUAAGUGGCAGACGGGUGAGUAUAAAUUAAUAACUUUUCUUUGGAAUUAUAAUAAUAAUUUAUAAUUAUAAUUAAUUAAUUAAUAAUAAAAAUAAAUAAAUAAUAAAUAAAUAAUAUAAAUAAUAAAUAUAUGUUAAUUGUAAUUUAAAACAAAAAGAUAAAUUAUCCCAAAAUAGUUUAUUAUAUGAUUAGUUAGUUGGUUAAAGUAAUUUUUUACUAAGACUAUGAUCAUUAAUUGAUUCUAGAGGAUAAUCAAUCACAUUGAAAUUUAGAUACGGUUCAAACUUUUUUUUAAAUUUUAGGCAGCAGUGGGGAAUUUUCCGCAAUAUACGAUAGUUUGACGGAGCAAUGUCUAGUGAGGAAAAAAUUAAAAAAAAAACUUCUUUUAAUAAUUAAUAAUUAAAAAACAUUGAUAAUAAUUAUAUUAUAUAAAAUAUUUAUUAUAAUAAGCAUUGGCCAAUUCUGUGCCAGCAGCCGCGGUAAUACAGAAGAUGCAAGCGUUAUUUAUAAUAAUUGGGUGUAUUAGAGUCUAUAAUUGGCUUUUUAAAUCUUUUAUUAAAUUCUAUAAAUUUAUUUUGUAUAAUAAAAAAGAAAUUAUUAAGCUAGAGUUUAUUAAAAAUAGGAGGAAUUUUCAGUAUAGUAGUAAAAUUCAUAUAAAUUGAAAAGAACACCAAUAACAAAAAUAUUUAUUUGUAAUAAACUGACAUGAAAGACGAAAGCUAUGGUAUCAAAUGGGAUUAGAUACCCCAGUAGUCUUAGCUAUAAACUAUAAAUACUAAUUAUUAUAUAUAUAUAAAAUAUAAAUAUAUAAUGAUAUAAUUAACAUGUUAAGUAUUUCACCUGAGGAGUACAUUUGCAAAAAUAAAACUCAAAGGAAUUGACGGGGAUUCAUAUAAACGGUGGAGUAUGUGGUUUAAUUCGAUGCAAAGCGCUAACCUUACCAGGAUUUAAAUGUAUUAUAAUUCUUUUAUUAUAAUUCUUUAUUAAAAAAAAGAAUAAGUUUUUUAAUAUUAAAAAAAUAAAAAAUUUUUACAAAGGGUGGUGCAUGGCUGUCAUUAGUUCGUGCCAUAAGGUGUUGGGUUAAGUCCUUUAACGAACGUAACCCUUUUGUUUUUUUACUUUUAUUUUUAAAAAAUAAAAAUAAAAGUACUUUUUAUAAACAGAUAGUGUAAACUAUAGGAAGGAAAAGGAUAACGUCAAGUCAUUAUGCCCCUUAUAUUCUGGGCUACACACGUACUACAAUGGAUUGUACAAAAAAUAUAUUUAAUUAAAAAUAAAAAAUCUAUCCUUAGUUCGGAUUGAAGAAUGAAACUUGUCUUUAUGAAGUUGGAAUCGUUAGUAAUCAUCGAUCAUUUUACGAUGGUGAAUUAAUUUUGGAUCUUGUACAUACUGCCCGUCACAUUUAUGAAAACUAAAUAUUUUGGAAAUCAUUAUUAUUAUAUUAUUAUACUAAAUAUUAUUAUAUUAAUAUAUUAAUUUAUAUUAAUAUUUAUAAAUAUUUAUAUUUUAAUAAAGUUAUGAUAAAAAAAAUUUAGUAAUUAAAAUGAAGUCGUAACAAGGUAGCUGUACUGGAAAGUGUGGCUGGAUUAU